GUGCUCACUUUGGCAGCACAUAUACUACAAUUGCAAUGAUACAAAGAAGAUUAUCAUGGCCCCUGCGCAAGGAUUACACGGAAAUUGAUAGGGAUGAAGUAGAAGUAU